ensembl:snRNA U6 U6 spliceosomal RNA
GCGCUCACUUCGGCAGCACAUAUACAAAAAAUUAGAACAAUACAGAGAUUAGCACAGCCUCUGUGCAAGGAGGACACGCAGAUUUGUGAAGCGCUUCAUACUUCA